rnacentral:rRNA from 1 species
UACAGAGACUGCAAGCGUUAUUCGGAUUCACUGGGCGUAAAGGGUGCGUAGGCGGUGGCGUAAGUCAGUUGUGAAAUUCCCCGGCUUAACCGGCGGGACUGCGAUUGAUACUGCGUUACUUGAAUCAGGUUGAGGUAGGCGGAAUGUGACAUGUAGCGGUGAAAUGCUUAGAUAUGUCAUAGAACACCGAUUGCGAAGGCAGCUUGCUGGACCUGUAUUGACGCUGAGGCACGAAAGCGUGGGGAGCAAACAGG